rnacentral:rRNA from 1 species
UACGUAGGGGCAAGCGUUAUCCGGAUUUACUGGGUGUAAAGGGAGCGCAGACGGAACUGCAAGUCUGAUGUGAAAGCCCGGGGCUCAACCGCGGGACUGCAUUGGAAACUGUAGAUCUGGAGUGCCGGAGGGGCAAGCGGAAUUCCUGGUGUAGCGGUGAAAUGCGUAGAUAUCAGGAGGAACACCGGCGGCGAAGGCGGCUUGCUGGACGGCAACUGACGUUGAGGCUCGAAAGCGUAGGGAGCAAACAGGAUUAGAUACCCUGGUA